rnacentral:rRNA from 1 species
AUUGAACGCUGGCGGCAUGCUUUACACAUGCAAGUCGAACGGCAGCGCGGGGCAACCUGGCGGCGAGUGGCGAACGGGUGAGUAAUAUAUCGGAACGUACCCAGAAGUGGGGGAUAACGUAGCGAAAGUUACGCUAAUACCGCAUACGAUCUACGGAUGAGAGUGGGGGACCUUCGGGCCUCAUGCUUGUGGAGCGGCGGAUAUCUGAUUAGCUAGUUGGUAGGGUAAAGGCUUACCAAGGCGACGAUCAGUAGCUGGUCUGAGAGGACGACCAGCCACACUGGGACUGAGACACGGCCCAGACUCCUACGGGAGGCAGCAGUGGGGAAUUUUGGACAAUGGGCGCAAGCCUGAUCCAGCAAUGCCGCGUGAGUGAAGAAGGCCUUCGGGUUGUAAAGCUCUUUUGUCAGGGAAGAAACGGUGCGGACUAAUAUUCUGCGCUAAUGACGGUACCUGAAGAAUAAGCACCGGCUAACUACGUGCCAGCCGCCGCAGUAA